GUAGGGAAUAUUGCGCAAUGGGGGAAACCCUGACGCAGCAACGCCACGUGAGUGAGGAAGGCCUUCGGGUUGUAAAGCUCUGUCCUAAGGGAAAAAUGGCGAGUGUGCUAAUAGUACAUUCGAUUGAUGGUACCUUAGAAGAAAGCACCGGCUAACUUCGUGCCAGCAGCCGCGGUAAUACGAAGGGUGCAAGCGUUGUUCGGAUUUAUUGGGCGUAAAGCGCGCGCAGGCGGAAGAGCAAGUCAGAUGUGAAAUCUCGGGGCUUAACCCCGAACGUGCGUCUGAAACUACUUUUCUAGAGUAGCGGAGGGGAGAGGGGAAUUUCACAUGUAGGGGUAAAAUCCGUAGAGAUGUGAAGGAACACCAGAGGCGAAAGCGCCUCUCUGGCCGCUAACUGACGCUGAGGCGCGAAAGCGUGGGGAUCAAACAGGAUUAGAUACCCUAGUAGUCC
rnacentral:rRNA from 1 species